rnacentral:rRNA from 1 species
GAUGAACGCUGGCGGCGUGCUUAACACAUGCAAGUCGAACGGAAAGGCCCAAGCUUGCUUGGGUACUCGAGUGGCGAACGGGUGAGUAACACGUGGGUGAUCUGCCCCGCACUUCGGGAUAAGCCUGGGAAACUGGGUCUAAUACCGGAUAGGACAGUGGUUUGGAUGCCAUUGUGGAAAGUUUUUUCGGUGUGGGAUGAGCUCGCGGCCUAUCAGCUUGUUGGUGGGGUAAUGGCCUACCAAGGCGUCGACGGGUAGCCGGCCUGAGAGGGUGUACGGCCACAUUGGGACUGAGAUACGGCCCAGACUCCUACGGGAGGCAGCAGUGGGGAAUAUUGCACAAUGGGCGCAAGCCUGAUGCAGCGACGCCGCGUGGGGGAUGACGGCCUUCGGGUUGUAAACUCCUUGCGCUAGGGACGAAGCGUUAUGUGACGGUACCUAGAGAAGAAGCACCGGCUAACUACGUG